GCUCAGUCAGGGGGCCAGUUCUCCUCUGACCAGACGAAACCAGUUGUUCAAUUCCAGGCUGCAGCAAAGUCAGAUUGUGCAGAAGAAUCAUCUAUUUCCUGUGGUCUUGUCCCGGUGGUCGUCUGAGACAAGGUCUUUACAGGGGAUCUGUCUCUGGGGCUCUAGUUGUCCUGGUCUCCGCUGUCUUUCAGGGCUGUAG
ensembl:lncRNA